AAACGCCUUGAACUCCACCCCUUCUCUCCAGUCACACGCAACCUCUCCUUUCCUCUCCAAUCUCUCUCGUUUUUCAUUCACAUCGGCAAGGGUUGCCGCCGCCGCCGCGCUCACGCCCCAAAUUUUCUCCCCCCUUCCCCGAUCCCGCAGCGGCCGCCUCUGCUGCUCCUGCGCAUGGUCGCCGCCGCCUCUGCUGCUCCCGCGCGUGGUCGUCGCGGCCUCUCCUCCCACCUCAGCGUACAACCGCCUCAGCGCCUCUUCCUCUUCAUCUCAGAAGACGGCAUCGAGUGCGGCCGUCCCGUGCUCUCUUUCCCUCCCAGGUCGACCCAGGAGGAGCUCGAGCGGCAGAGCUGGUCCACGGCGCCGUCGUUGUUGGCAGGAGCGUGAGCGCAGACACAGUCGGCUCCCUCCGGCUUUCGUGUCGCCGUCCAUCAACCCGUGAGGUCAGUCCCUGCGUCCUCGCCUCAAUCCUCUCUCGCUGUCACGGAUGCCUUCUCCUCCGUCCUCUCAAUGUUUUGCGAUGAACUGGCUGAAAAAUGCCUGCAUGUCACAGCAGACCCGUACCGAAAGCAUGUGUGUGGUACUGGUAUGUGCCUGCACAGGACCUCCAAAUUUGAUUUAAGUAUCAGUAAUACUGAUUAGAGUUUACAUGAGAAAAUACACUUAUUUACUGUUGGGAAUCUACUUCACGCUGUCAGGCACCUUCCUCCUUUCUCUCCUCUACAGAUUGAUACGACUGUAUAUGUAUACGUUUUACUGUCAAUUAAUCUCCCCCACCUUUUACACUUUUUAAUGCAUAAUGAAUUUUGUGGUGUUGUUCUUUAUAAUAAAAACAAUCUUCGCAGGAAGAGAUAUAUCGAUGGCCAAGAACUCCUGGAGCACCCGCUCGGUUCAUCUCAUGUAUAUUCGCAGGUUAGUUGCAUGGAUAAGGCCUUCCCAACCGGGCACGCCCAAGAACGCCUCCUGCAGGAGGGCGCCGCCGCCGUCCCGACCAGCACUCCCCCGCCGUCCUACCACGCCCGGACCGCCACGGCAGGUUGGGCCGCAGGAGCAAGGGAGAUGGUCGAUGGGGAGACGGCCCCGCCUCUGAUGCAGCUGGAGACGCUGCUGGCGCUCGGCCUGGACCAGCGCAUGGCGGAGAACGCGCUGGUCAACAGCAAAGUCACCUAGCCUCCGUCAUAGCCAAGAACCAGGGCAAAUAUGGGAGCUCCAUCAAGGCUUUGGGAGGUCACUUGAUCUGGACUCCCUCUUCCUCCACUACAGCGGCCGAAACCUGCAGUUGCUGCCGGCUGAGACCGGCCAGGACGCCGACAACGGAUUUGACUCCUACACCAAUCUCAUCAAGGUUGUUGUUGGAAAGUCAAAAAGCUACACGGGAAGACCUUCGACAAUAAUUUCAGCCCCAAAGGAACAAAGGUGGCGACACCGUUAUCACGGCAAGCAAGCUGGCAUUCAGUUCAGCUUCUUGACGCGGUUCGGCAUGAUGGCGGCGCAGAUGAAGGCAUUCCUCGACUCCACUGGCGCCUCCGGCAGGAGCAGAGCAUCUCCGGCAAUCUCGCAGGCGUCUUCUUUGCCACGGGCACCUAGGGCUGGCACGCCAUUGUAAAGAUGGGUUAAGCGUAUGCCUUAGCAGGGACGCGUUGCGUGUUAUUUAUAGGCACAAGAGAUUACAGGGUUUAGGUAGUUAGGUUGUUGUAGGAUUGAUCUCCAAGUCAUAAUCUAUACAAAGGAUAGAGAUCAACCUAAACAUAUCCUAACUACCUGAUUACAACACGCACAUGCCAACACAUAUAUACGGUUUAUAUGUACACCGUAUACAUCCUAUAAUACAUACUUUAACACGCCCCCUCAAUCACAACUUUAACAAGUUGAAAUUGUUCUUGAA